rnacentral:rRNA from 1 species
UACGGAGGGUGCGAGCGUUGUCCGGAAUCAUUGGGCGUAAAGGGCGCGUAGGUGGCGGGACAAGCGUGCGGUGAAAGCCUGGGGCUCAACCCCGGGUCGGCCGUGCGAACUGUUUUGCUUGAGCACUGUAGAGGCAGGCGGAAUUCCGGGUGUAGCGGUGGAAUGCGUAGAGAUCCGGAAGAACACCGGUGGCGAAGGCGGCCUGACUGGGCAGUAGCUGACACUGAGGCGCGACAGCGUGGGGAGCAAACAGG